CGCCACGCCGGCGGCCGCACCGCCACCCCGACACCGAGUCCAGGUCCCGGGAAGCCAGCUGGGCUACGCAAAACGCGAGAGUUCAGGGUGAGGUGAUUGGACAGUGUCCGCUGAGACCAGAGGGCGCCCGGCGGCGCGCAGUUCCACGGAGAGGAGCGAACUCCCUGGAAGACACACACAGGCCUCCGGACCCGCUCCUGACCCUUGCUCCCGUCCCCUGGAGCUGGGAGUGAGGCCUGCCUCCGAGCGGCUUUUGCACCUGAGAGCUUCCUGUUGACGUCAUUAUUCAGCUCCGCGGCGUCACAGUUCAAGAAGCAUGUGAUCGGCCGCCAUUUGCGUGAAGCCCCAGUGGCCUAAUGGAUAAGGCACUGGCCUCCUAAGCCAGGGAUUGUGGGUUCGAGUCCCAUCUGGGGUGAAUUAACAAUUUCAGCAAGGUUGAAUGCCUCACGUUAUGUGAGCUUUGGCGGUGGUGUAUUUGCUCAGAGAGAGGCUGCAUUGUUCCUCAGACUUUCGGUCACCCCGAAUUAUUCCUGCGCCCUCUACUCCAAACCGGCCGCCACGGUUUAUGGAUGCUGCUUGAAGCUAUUGCUGGCUCCCAAGCCCUGCCACGUGGCUGCGGCGCCCUGGCCCUAGCCUGCCCUGCUGGACCCACUGCUGCUUUUCUGGGUUUCCGACUUCAGUUUUCCCUAAAGCCAUCCUCCAGGCCUUGCCUCCGUGAAGCUUACAUUGUAGUGAGAGAGAAGACAGUAAAGAACUAAAUGAACAAACGAGAUGAUUUCAAAAUAAAGAGAGCCAUGGGAAACUGUUAGUUGAGUAGCGAGAGAAAGCCUCUGGGUGGAGAACAGCAGAAGGAUCACUAGCAAUGCUGUCACCUUCAGAGGACUUCUUUACUGUCUUGGCUGAUACACUACCUACCUCAUAGGGUUCUUGUGAGGAGUAAAGGAGGUGAUAUUUCUGUGAACUGAUUAGAACAAUUCCUGGAAGCUCGUAUGUGCUCUAUAAGAUCAGGCAUGGUCGUCCUCACUUACCAAUAGACUAGUUUGCCCCCUUAUUCAAGGAUUGUGUGAUACUCUCCACACUAGGUGUGAACCCCUAACUGAAGGCUCAAAUUUCAUCUUAGAUUUCUUCUCUUUCAUUCAUAGUGAAUUCAUAUUAAGGUUCUUCUAAAUGCCAAGCACAGUGCUAAGCCCAGGGAAUAUGCAUAUGUCUAAGGCGUAGUGCUGGCGCUCAACAAAGAAUCUUUUAAAAUCUUCUAGAUCUCCCUAAUCUUCUGGCGUUAGAGCAGGAACAGCAAAUGCCUGAUGGUAAGGGUGGAGUGGGAGGUGCAGUUAGCAGGAUGCUGUGGCUGUAACGGGGGAAGGAGCACAGCGUACCAAGAGAGAACCCCGGAGUAAGAGGCUGCAUUUGAGCUUGUGUGCAGCGGGAAUCCAGGGGAGGGCUUUAAGCAGAGGAGUAAAAUGACCAUAUUUGCAUUUUGAAAAGAUCCCCUUGGCAACAAUGUAAAGAAUGGACUGGAGGUGGGUGAGAGUACAGGCAGGGGACCACUUAGGGAGAGAUGGGUGGCUCAGGGAGGAGAUUACCAAAGCCUGAACAGAAGCAAUAGCAGGACCCCAAGAGGAAGAAAGUAAAGAUGUUCAGGAAAUGGAAUCUGUGGGACGUGCAGCCCAAGAUGGUGCCCAGGAUUUGGGGGGAUGGUGGUGCCACACACCCUGGGGAAGAACAUGAGCUCAGGGUUGAUCCAAGUGCCUGGUUUAUUUUUCCCCACAAUCUAUCCUUUUUUUCAUCAUAGUUUCUAGUUUCUCCUUUGGUGUUAUGCCUAGAAAAACUCUCACUUGAAGAUUAUGUAAAUAUUUACCUACAGUUUUUCCUGUUGUUUCUUGUGGGAUUUUUAAAAAUAUUUAAAUCUGUAACUGGAAUUUAUUUUGAUUUUUAGUGUAGAGUAGGAUCUGUUCUUAUUGCUUUACAAAUAUUUAAACACUUAGAUCAGUGCCUUUCCCCAGUGAUACAAAAUGCUACUUAGAUACAGGUUAUGGACUUUUUCUGAAGGUUCUUUUCUGUUCCGUUGAUCUAAUUAUUUUUAGCUUUUUAUGCAACUUAACUGUGAGUACUAAUUUAUAACCCAAUUAAUUUUUAAAUAUUUUUCACUUUUUUUCUUAUCUCUAUCCUGAUUUUUCUGUAAUCAAAAUGUAUUGUGUAAUCAAAGUUUUUAUAUCAC
rnacentral:lncRNA from 1 species